ensembl:lncRNA
UGGGAAAGCUCUUGAUCUUAACUGUAUUUCUACACCUGAGAAGGUUAAGAUUUAGUUCUUGCGUUAUACUUAGAGCCACUCUUCUGUUCCUUCUCCAUUGGCCUGCCCCUGAGAAAUAACACAAUUCUCAAUAGUGUUUGGUUUGAGGUGCUUCCCUUCUCUGUGGCUGCUGUGCUUCAAGACAAAGUUUCCAGAAUGACUCAAAGCUAUACACCUACCCAAGAUGACAAUGCCUGGUGCCUACCAAGGGCCUUUAAAUAGACCCUCUGUAGAGUAACUCAGACUGCCGAUCACAACUAUGGCCCUCUUCAUCUGGAUCAGUACUGUGAGACCCAACGUAGCAACUUAGCAAUACCAGCACCAUGUUGAGAACAUUCUCCUCCGUUUUGCAAAUAUGUGACUUCCAGCUGCACUCUGUCUCCCGGGAGAAAACUCCACCCCUAACCAGUAAACAGAAACUGUGUUUCAGGUGAUCUGCAACAAACUUACCCAGGGGAAUGUGAGGAACUAACUGUGCUUAUCCUGGCUUCUGUAACCAGCUUCUGCAACAAUUUGUAACCCAGGGGAAUGGGAGGAGGGACGUUUUCUGUGGUUUUUCACUCUCAAUAUGCAGUCCUCAUUUCAAUUGGGACCUUUGUCCUCUGACUUGGUUGGAGUGUACAUGGGUCCCGGCCAGAAAAUAAAGUUCUUCAGUAAGAUCCCAGGACUGUGUCCUGCUUUGAGAGUUUGUCGCUAAUCUAAUUUGGGGAUGAGGUCCAACAGUACUAGUCUGUAAAACUGUUACCAACUUCUUGUGUACCCUUCCAGAGACAUCCUAGGCACAUAGAAACAUCUGGCUGCUUAUAUAUUUGUGUAAGUUGUAUAUUUUUAUACAAAUGGUAGUACUAUAUAAUAUAUGCAAUGUCCUACACUUUACCAUUCCUUGUGCGACUCAGGAUUGAACCCAGAGCCUUUACCCUGAGCUACAUCCUCAGGCCAUUUUAUUAUUUUGAAAUGGGAUCUUGCUAAGUCACUAGGUUGCUCAGGCUUGCCUUGAACUUGUGAUUCUCCUGCCUCAGCUUUCCAGAGUGCUGGAAUUAUAGGCAUGUGCCACCAUGCCCGAUGGACUUUACCUUUUUCACUUAAUACAUCUUGGAGAUCAUUCUUUUUUUUUUUUUUUUUGGUACCAGGGAUUGAACUCAGGACCUUGCACUUUCGAGGCAGGCAGGGGAAACACUGAGCUAAAUCCCCUGUCCUCAUUCCACUUUUUAAAAAAUGGUUGCAUAGGGACCGGGGAUUUAGCUCAGUAGUGUGGCCUCCUGCCUCGAAAGCACAAGGUCCUGAGUUUGAUCCCAGGUACCAAAAGAAAAAAGGUC